GUGAAAAGAUGGAGCAACAUUUCAUAGCAACACCUAAACUAGUCGUCCAUCUCUAUGUCACAAACUCAAAAUCAAUGGAAAUAAUACAACAUGAUUACACAAGAUGCAUUAACAUUCACAAACAAAAACGAUACUGAAUGGGCUCCGAUGUUUCUAGAAAUAAUUUUCUAAAAUAUGGACCUAUCAGACAUGAAAAAUAUUAGCAAGAAGCAUGCACACGCCCUGAAAAGAGGAAACGAAUUACAAAAAUUCAACCACUAGAGUUGGUGUGGUGGUUCAGCACCUCAUCCCUUAAGCAAGAGGUUGGAGGUUCGAUUCCCAUCUCUGGUGAAUGGAGUUCCCUACCGCUUAGUGCGCUGACCGAGGAACGGAGGAUUAGUCUCAUGGCUGUCGGCUGUAGGGAUACCUUGGAAAACCAAAAAAAAAAUUACUAAAAUUCAUGGUUCUAGAGGUACAUUUCAUAUCUUAUAGAUCUAGAUACAUGCAUAUGCAUGUGGAUAAUUUCUAUCACUACGUAUGUACAAUUAAUAAUGGCUAUCAACUUGUUUCUCUCCGCCACUAACUUCGUAGCAGAUAUACCGUCACCAGGCAAGAAAUGUGAUUCACAAUAUAUAUUUAUUAUCCUCUUUUAAAAUAUUUUUUCAAACAAAAAAUUGAUAGAUAAUUAGAGCUGUAUCUUAACUUAGAUGAGAUAAAUCCAAUUUCCGAAAUAAUAAUCACCCCAUAUAUAUUAGUAAAUAUGACAUAUCAAUAAGCAAACGAGUUACGGUGUAAUCUUUGAUUAAUUUAUAAGCUGUUUUUUUCACACCAUCAAAGUAGAAUAACCUCUUUAAAUUGAAUUUGUAUUUAUUAGACUAAAAAUAACUAAAAUGUAGAAUAGAAAACUUCCAUUUAUUGUUGGAAGGUUAUAAGUUUUUCGGCAUGCAAUUGUAACAUUUCACUUGUAUGACUAGGGGUGAAAGCUCUUGAUUUUUAUUUUUAUUUUUGUUUUAAAUUAUAACUACGUGAAUUUGAUUUAAAAAAAUCAAAGUUAUAUAACCAUUCAUGACAUGGACGACAAUGUUGGAGAAGAUUAAUUAAUAUCAACUUAAUUAACAUUAUGAGCAAGGCAUGCAUGUGGACCUCUGAUAAUUGCUUACAUAUAAGUUUGUCUUUUCAUAUAUAUAUGAUUGGUAGUUGAGGCAUGGGAGAAAAAAAAGGAAAAUGAGAGGUGAAAAUUGAAUCGUGCAUCUUAGGGUAUGUUCAUAUCUUAACUAACUUUCACCAAUUUUCCCCUAUGCAUCAAACAAAAUGUGAUUAUUGCAUCAAUAUUGCAUUAUACUAUGAGACUUUUUGUAGGCAUUUCCUCUAACCCUGCCACAAAUAAGGCAAGGUUUUAGGUCUUCUUUUCCCUUUGUCUCUCCUCCAUAUACCUUUAAACUUUCAAUGUUACAAGUUCUUCAAGUGAAUAAAAAGAGCUUCUUAAUCCAUACAACAACGGCUAUAACUACGCCUCCGUUCCAAACAUAAUGGGAUUGGCUAUAUAAGUCCUCACUGAUCACGAGGAUAUCUUGUUGUUAGGCGCAAUGGCGGUGAUUCCCGGACAAUACUAAUAAAAUUGUGUCAAUUGUAUUGCCAAUUUCUUCUCCAUGAUGACAACCAAGAAUGAGAAGAAAGGCAAUAUUUUGAUGCAAAAAUAUGAGAUUGGGAAAUUGCUUGGGCAAGGGACAUUUGCCAAGGUCUACCAUGCAAGAAAUCUAAAAACAGGACUAAGUGUUGCCAUUAAGGUGAUUGACAAAGAGAAGGUGAUGAAGGUUGGUCUAAUUGAUCAAACCAAACGUGAAAUCUCUGUCAUGAGGCUAAUCAAACACCCAAAUGUUGUCCAACUCUAUGAGGUUAUGGCUAGCAAAUCAAAAAUCUAUUUUGCCAUGGAAUAUGUUAGAGGUGGUGAGCUUUUCAACAAGGUUGCUAAAGGCAGGCUUAAAGAAGAUGCUGCAAGGAAAUACUUCCAACAAUUAAUUGCUGCAGUCGAUUUUUGCCAUAGCCGUCAGGUCUACCAUCGCGAUCUCAAGCCCGAAAAUCUCCUCCUCGACGAAGGUGGUGAUAAAUUUUUGUGACCAUUUCCUCUAAAAACUUUAGUAUUUACUUAUUAUUAUGUCUUAAUACAGCACGUACUUAAUUAUGUUUUCUUCAGGUGGCAACCUAAAAGUGACCGAUUUCGGGCUUAGUGCAUUGUUUGAUUCCAAAAGGCAAGAUGGUCUCCUCCACACAACAUGUGGAACACCAGCCUAUGUUGCACCAGAGGUGAUCAACAAGAGAGGUUAUGAUGGUGAAAAGGCUGAUAUUUGGUCAUGUGGUGUUGUUUUAUUUGUCCUGUUAGCAGGUUUUUUGCCAUUCCAUGACCAAAACCUUAUGGAGAUGUACAAAAAAAUAAGCAAAGGGGAGUUCAAAUGUCCACAAUGGUUCCCUCCUGAGGUAAGAAAGCUCCUCUCAAGGAUUCUUGAUCCAAAUCCAGGCUCAAGAAUCACCUUAGUUAAGCUCAUGGAGAAUUAUUGGUUCAAGAAAGGUUUCAAACAAAUUGAUAAAACCCAAAAUCCAGGGAAAGAACUACGCGCAUCGCCUUGCAGUGUUUUAGAUAUUCAUGAGGACCAUAAUUCAGAUGGAGAGGGAUCUUCCAACCCCAAGAAAGAUCAAAGCUCAACAAUAACAAUGAAGCCUACUUGCUUAAAUGCAUUUGACAUCAUUUCUCUUUCUCCUGGUUUCGAUCUUUCUGGAUUGUUCGAAGAGGAGAAAGAGAGAAGAUCAGAGGCGCGAUUCACCGCGAAAAAGCCAGCAUCUAUAAUAGUGUCAAAAUUGGAGGAAGUGGCAUCAAAUGAGAGUUUUAAUGUGAAGAAAAAAGAUGGGACAGUGACAAUGCAAAGUAUUAAACAAGGGAGAAAAGGGCAACUAGCAAUUGAUGCUGAGAUUUUCGAAAUUACGCCUUCUUUUCAUGUUGUGGAAGUGAGUAAAAAAUCAGGAGACACAAUGGAAUACAAGCAAUUCUUUGAUCAAGGCUUGAAGACUUCACUUAAAGAUAUUGUUUGGACAUGGCAAGGUGGUGACCAGCAAGUUGAAAAUCAAGAAUGAAAUUGAUCAUCUUUUUUUUGUAUGUUAUAAUUAAAAUUUUCAUUUCUUUCUUGUCUGUAUUUUUAUUUUUGGGAGAGGGGUUAUUGGAAAUUGCUUGCAUACCUAUCUUGUAU
rnacentral:lncRNA from 1 species